rnacentral:rRNA from 1 species
AGACGUCUACAUUAGACUACCCCGUAGUCCCAGCCGUAAACUAUGCGCGUUAGGUGUAUCGGUGACCACGAGUUACCGAGGUGCCGAAGGGAAACCGUGAAACGUGCCGCCGUGGGAAGUACGGUCGCAAGGCUAGAAACUUAAAGGAAUUGGCGGGGAGCACCACAACAGGUGGAGCCUGCGGUUUAAUUGGACUCAACGCCGGGAAGCUCACCGGAUAGGACAGCAGAAUGAUUGCCGGGCUGAAGACCCUGCAUGACUAGCUG